rnacentral:rRNA from 1 species
GAUGAACGCUAGCUACAGGCUUAACACAUGCAAGUCGAGGGGCAGCGAGGGCGUAGCAAUACGCCUGUCGGCGACCGGCGCACUGGUGAGUAACACGUAUGCGACCUGCCCCCUACAGGGGUAUAACCCGUAGAAAUGCGGACUAAUCCCCCAUAGUUCUGAGUGCUGCAUGGCAUUCAGGGGAAAGGCCAGCCGGUAGGGGAUGGGCAUGCGGCGCAUUAGCUAGUUGGCGGGGCAACGGCCCACCAAGGCGACGAUCAGUAGCCGACCUGAGAGGGUGACCGGCCACAUUGGGACUGAGACACGGCCCAA